rnacentral:lncRNA from 1 species
CUUCUCUUUCCUGGCAGUUGAAACUCAAACAUUGAAAAAUAAACUAACUUGUGAACAAAACAAUGUAAAUAGCCAAAAGAACACAAGGACAAAGUCUCACAUCAGUAGACUUCAUUUCAACUUUUAUGCCUGUGCACAGUGCUCCUAAAAAUUAACUCAGCACUACACUUGUUGCGCCAGGUGGGAUAGGCUAGAAUUUGUAGUUCUUUGACUUUGUGCGAUUAAUUUACCAGCUAUGAAACAAAAUGGCAGAAAUACUUUGAAAACAGCUUCUGCAGCAUUUAUUUAGCACCGUAAAUCCAGAGAACAACAGACUUUGAUGACAAAAUGUGCCCACGAAGGACCGCCGCGCCACCUUCCUGUUCAAGUGAGCACAGCACAACAAGUUACCUCUCUUGCUCCUGUUCCACAUCUCACCACCUUCCUCUGGAUAUCACUCACCACCAUUACCUUGGAUUCCCCUCAGGACCUGUUCCCCUGUUCUACUCAGCCAACUUGAACCUCACUCUACACUCCUGGUUUUUGCAACUCGUCUGAGCUACACCGGUUCUGCACUCCCCAUUUCUGUGUUCAAAAAAAAUAAUUGCAUUCAUCCCGGCUUCCUCUUCUGAGUCCGCUCUUGGGUUCCCCCCUUCGCUCAUCGUAACACCCUUUAUGCCAUAGCUUGUACAUCUCAAUUGUCAGUAGAAACCACAUUUGAUUAAGCAAGUCAGCCAUAUCAGCUAUGUUUUUUUUAUUUUUUAAAGGCAACAAAUGAAGCUGAAUGAAUUGUUUCGCUGCCAGGCAAGGCUCUGUUGAUACCAAGGUGUAGCAGUGGUAAGGUGUUGGGACUGCUGUUGGGACUCUGCUGUUGGGACAGCUUUAUGUAGGCCCUAACAGUUUGUGGACACUGUUUAUAACCAUUAUAGUGCAAUUAAUGUAUUGUUUAGAGUUAUGUUGUAUAGUGGUUUUGCUUGCAUGCAUACCACCACUUUUUUUUUUUUUUGCCCCACCAAGAUUGUGAUGCUAAAAUCUCCACUGCAUUUAGCUAACAUUACAUAGUUCAUCCAGCGAUUCUUACCUUUGCCUCAAUUCGGCAGUCUCGUCCAGAUCAUGGCAUUUGUAGUUAUUUAUGAUAGCCACAUUAUCAGCUAAUUAACAUUUAAUUUGCUGGGGGGUAAAUACAGGUUAAAUAUAAUAAUUUACUUUUGUUUUAUCAUCUUGUGGUACAAACAUAAUGAACAUCAACAUGGGAAACAUGAUAUGCAGUUUAAGCUAAUAAACGGUGGGCAAAUUAUGUUAAUUGUGUUGAAAUGUUCAUAGAAAGGGCC